GGAGACGACCUAGCCGUCCUGCUCCUCCCACAAUCACCCCGUCCCCUCUCCUUCCUCUCUUUCUCCUCUGCGCCUGCCUCCCUCCCUCCCCAUCGACCCGCGCCUGCCUCCUCCCCAUCGGCCCCCUCCCCCCGUCGCUCAUCCUCGUCACCCGAAGGGGAGCCGCCGCUGCUCGGCCCUCUCCCCCUCGGCGUCGAGCGGCUCAUGGUGGUGCCGGAUCCGGUGUCGGGGUCGAGGGGCACGCAGGAUCCAGGCGUGACGGCUCAUUGGUGAGCGCGGCGGCCGCCAUGGACGAGCUCAAGCCGGGUCAUGUGGGCGCGUUGGUUAGCGCGGCGGCGGCCAUGGCCGAGCUCGAGCCCGGGUGCACCGGCGAGGGUACUAGGGGAUUUCACCGUGAUCUCCUCCUCGUCGUCGGUCAGUUGUCUUGCAGGUAGUUCGAGGGUGUGACCUCUUGGCCGUGCGGUUUGCUUGCCGUCACCUUGGCCGCCGGCGUGCCGUUGAAGAGUGUAUUGUUCUGGUCCCUUUCCUAGCCCUAUGCUACCUUUGCUGGUUCCUUCCCUGCCCGAUUCUGAAGAUUACCUAGCCAGUAGUGUUCUUCCUCUUGCAGCGGAUAAGUUGUGGCUCUUCGAGGAUAGCUCACAUUGCUUAGUUGCGCAGAGAACUAGGAGAUCUCAUCUAACUAUCUUGGCUGAGCUUGUUCAAUUGACAAGGCGGUGGUAACUUCAGAAUUUCAUGAAUGAGAAUAUUGUUUAUAUUGUCAGAAGUUCACAUCAUGUGCCUUCCCUUCAGUUUUCACAUGAAACUAAUUUUUCUCCCAUGUUUAGAAUUUAUACGUAAGUGUUGACCGACUCUUCAUGUUCAUUGCCUACUUUGACAUUAUUUUUUUAAGAAUGUCUUUUAAUGGUGUUUGAUCAAUCUUAUCAGUUAACCACACUACAUGUUCUACAUUCUUACUUUGUUUGCUGGCUAUGUUUCUUGGCUGGGUUGGUGUGCAGGAUAAUAUGGGUGAAUUAACAAUCAAAAAUGAAAAACGGUGCAGGGCUAGGGGCUAGACAGUGGUGAAUUAACACACUAUUAGUGACAAAGUAAAACGAAACCGGUUCCGAGCAUUCGGGUUGCAGGUUCUGAGGUGUGAUCGUUGAGGUGGGGUAGCAAAUAUAGUUAGCAGUAUUGUAUCCUAACCUGGAGAACAUCCAUUUACUAAUUUUGGCUCCGGAGUUCUGUUAGUGAAUUAGAAAAUAGUGAGCCCCUGCUCUGAGGCCAAGGUACGCCAAUGAUCGUCCAAGGUACGCCAAUGAUCAAAAGAACACCUGAAUGAAAAAAAGUUCUUCCAUUUGCAGCGAACUUUCAGUAGAUAUCGUCUCUAUUUCUUUUACAUGUGGAUAUUGUUGUUUCAAAGCAAAUUUCACCAUUAAGUUUUACCAGGUUUUGUUACCUAUAAUCUUUUUUUAUUAGGUUAUUUUUUUGGUUUUAUCAGGUUUUGUCACCUAUAAUCUGUUUUUUUAUCAGUUUUUCUUGCUUAUUCUCUCUAAUCAGAAAAGGAGCCUGAAAAUCUGCAUUUACAUUUGCAGAUAUGGCAGGAAAGUACAGCUUAUCCAGAGACACCAAUUGGGAGAGGUACAGCAUAUGCAUUUCAAAGAGAACUGGACUCUGCUAUUUCUGAUUUCACCAAGGACUCCAGUAAUAACCACAUUAUGAAAUGGGCGAUAAUCAGCGACGCUAUUUACAUCAGUGAUGACGAAGGUAAGCACCACCAUAAACGCCAACGUGCCAAAAAGACAAGGGGUCGAGCUCCAUGUAGCGAACCAUGUCUUUGUGAGAGGACCUUAACAAGAGGACCAAUAUGGUGCGAACUAUGGGGCAAACCAUCGCUCACUAUCCACAAGCGCAAGUUCAUGUGACGUGCCAUG